GUAAUGAGCAGUGUUUACCUUAAGGACCUGAGAACACAUUGAGGGAAAACAGAAGCAUGAAGUGGCUAAUGCUUUGCCACGUGGGAAAUUCACUGAGAGGUCCAAAAGACGGACUACGAGAACAGUUGAAAGGAAACUUCAUUUGGCCAAGUUCACUUCCAAAUACACUUUUCUGCAUCUCUUGUCUCAAACCUGAGUAAUGAACAGCUCAUUCUUCACA